UGCAAAAUAAUGGUGAAUUACAUUAAAUGAAAUCUAGACUAUAUUAUACAAAGUAAAUCUGCAUUGAGCUCAAUUUUGCUGAGGUUUCACAAGCUAAUUUGAGCUGUUGACCAGUAACAAGUCAUUUU